UCUCUCUGAAUCUGCGUACGGCUCAUUAAAACAGUUAUAGUUUAUUCGAUUAUUUUCUCCUACAUGGAUAACCGUAGUAAUUCUAGAGCUAAUACAUGCUGUCAAACCUGACUUUUGUGGAAGGGUUGUAUUUAUUAGAUAUAAAACCAAUACCCAGCAAUGGGUUUUGUGAUGAUUCAUAAUAACUGAACGGACCGCGGCCGUGCCGCGGCGAAUCGUUCAAGUUUCUGCCCUAUCAGCUUUCGAUGGUAGUGUAUUGGACUACCAUGGCGAUCACGGGUAACGGGGAAUUAGGGUUCGAUUCCUGGAGAGUGGGCCUGAGAGAUUGUUAG
rnacentral:rRNA from 1 species